GCCAAAGUGGCGGAAUUGGUAGACGCGCGCGACUCAAAAUCGCGUUCCUCCGGGAGUGUGGGUUCGAGUCCCACCUUUGGUACAA
rnacentral:tRNA from 2 species